UUUGGCUUCUCAAGAAUGGAGAAGCCACCAUAUAUAUCAUGCAACAACAUAUAUAGAUCAAAGUAAUAUUCAUGUAUUUUGAUCUUGUGCUUUAUAAGCUCAUGAUCUACUCUAGCCAUGGAAAGGAAAUGCCAAAUGAUCACUGAGUUGUGUUGCACAGAAGCAAAUUCAGAAUUUAGAAUCAGUGUUGGAUAUGAAUCCAUCAAGACAAAUGAAGUGUACAUACAAGUAAAUCAUGGAGACUCAAGUGAAGAUUGAAAGUACUUUUUAAGUUUCAAAUGCUAAUUAGAAGGGUGCUCACUUCUCAGAUAUCUGUCAUUGCCAAAUUAGGAACCAAAUGGUUCACUAAAAUUGGCAUUUCUCUUCCAAAAAAAGAAAAUACCCAUAGAAUGAUGGUUGUUUACAAAGUUGAUUCCUCAAAUGGUCAUUCAGAUAAUACUCUAAUUAUUAU